UACGGAGGGGGCUAGCGUUGUUCGGAAUUACUGGGCGUAAAGCGCACGUAGGCGGCUUUCCAAGUUGGGGGUGAAAUCCCUGGGCUUAACCCAGGAACUGCCCUCAAAACUGGAAGGCUAGAGUCCGAGAGAGGUGAGUGGAAUUUCCAGUGUAGAGGUGAAAUUCGUAGAUAUUGGAAAGAACACCAGUGGCGAAGGCGGCUCACUGGCUCGGUACUGACGCUGAGGUGCGACAGCGUGGGGAGCAAACAGG
rnacentral:rRNA from 1 species